CUGCCUGGCUCUCCAGCACCACCUCCUCCACUGCCUGGCUCUCCAGCACCACCUCCUCCACUGCCUGGCUCUCCAGCACCACCUCCUCCACUGCCUGGCUCUCCACCACCAUUGCCUUUUUUCCUUUAAUUUUUUUUUCAAAAAACUUCUUCAGCCAGGAUUUCUUUUUCUUUCUUCCUUUUUCCUUCCUUUCUAUAGCCUCCCCAGCAUUGUUUGGUACCGCUGGCGGCCUAAAGCACUUCAGAGAAAGCCAAGUCAUUUUGAGAUGCGUCUCGUUCGAAAUCAGAUUUGUUUUGAAGUGGUACUGGUGCCUACAGCACAAUUUAUAACUUCAGAAUGAUGACAUCAGAGUUGUCACGGUAACAUUGUGUUCUAGAAUUCAAAUGUAGGUGCCAUGAUUGGUCAGUGGUUCCAUUUUUUUAAAUUCUCUGCAUUUUUUAUAUGCUUUAUUCAGCUCAUAUUUUGCAGCAUAUAAUGUAUGAAUUUCCAUAUUUACCUUAAUUAGAUAAACAGGAACAGAGGAAUAAAGCCAAUUAAAAUGUAUGGAACUUCCAGUCUUUCUGUAAUAUGUCACAGAGUAAGGCAUAACUAAACGCACUGCUGAGAAAAUGAGCGUAGAGGAUUACAGUAGUAUAAUGCUAAUCCCUACUAUAUACACUCCAUAUACGAUAUACAUUUUAUAUACAUUUAUUAUGUAUGCAUAUUUUAUAUACAUCUCUGGAAACAGACCGCAUGUUAGAAAGGCUCGUGUAGCUUUAAGGAACACUGCUGCGUGCAAAAGCCUGUGGGUGCACACGUGACGAGAGCGCGCGGGAGAGCCUGAAGGAAUAGGCAGCACGUCGGCGAGCUGCAGUUUAUGUGUAGUUAGUUUAGUUGUUCCUGGCAGUAAAUGGAGUCCCUGGUUUUUUAUGUAUGCGUCACUGACGAAUAACCAUACAUAAAUACAAACUUACUUACCAACCCACUUCGUCUGACUGUGCAUCCAACUGACUUCAAGUAAGAUAAGCCAGAGUACAACUAAUUGCUCCCCCCUCCUGAUUGAGAACGUGUAUCUGGUGAAAUACGGUCAGCAGCCCCCCCCCCCUUCCCUGAAUCUUGUCUAUCCUGAAUAGUGACUGAUAUCCCACAGCGAGUACUACCCUCCUGCAGCAACCCCUUACAGUUUCCUAGGGGAGUGUGGCCCCCCUUUCCCACACCGCAUCAAAUUUUUCAGUUUCACUCAUUUCUCAGUUUAUAGAUUAUGGGUAUGAGCCUGUGUAAAAUACACAUUUUUUUGCAAACUCCAGCCUGGCUCUUCCCUGCUUCUCAUUGAUGAAGGGCUUCUUCCUUGCUUUAUGGGUCUUCACCGCUGCUUCUAGGAGCCUGUCCCACCAGUACACUUCACACUUAAUGUUUUCCAUUCCUUUUUUAAGGUCACUUGAGGUCAUCCUCCGAUUUGUUAGACACUGACGGAUAAGUUGAUGGUCAUCUCUGGCAUUAGAAGGUUGCUUCAGCCCUCUUCCUGUGUACUGCGGUCUUAGAAACUCAUGAGCAUGGAAGCAGCCUGCCUCACAUUGUAGCCUUCUGCCAGCAGAACCAGGAUUAAACCAGAAUUUAACAAUGCAGAUUUGAAAAAGUAUAUAGAGUGGUCUCUUAACUUUUUUCCAGAGCUGUGUGUUGUUUAUUUUAUGUUUUGGCUGCAUGUUUGAACCUGAGACCAGUUUUCAAAUGGAGUCUGUUUGAGAAUACUACAUUCACACCCCCAAAACCUUCGUAUCCCAAAUACUGCAUCAUGAAAGGUGAAAACUGGUAGGUUUAUGCUGGUGAAAUAAUGAAGAUAGAUGCUGCUGCUUUUAAAUCAUUCACAAGGUUGUUUAUUGAAAUGGUUUAUUGAAAGGCAUCUAACAAUUUCAAACACAUAUGGAGAUAUAAUAGACAUUCGCCUCAGAAUUAUAUUUUAUGUAAUUUUAUCUUUAAAGUGACCUUAUUAAAUUUGUUCCCCGAAGUAAUAAUUUCAUCUCACACCCUGAGUGCUUUUGCACUCUGGUUAUAUGUGCUGUUAGUGUGCUAGCAGCAUUUUCUACCCAGGGAGUCUGAUCGAAACCCAAAAUCAAGCUGCUGCUGUGAGCUCCUGCUGAGCACCCUGCUCGGAGGCAUGUACACUCGACGGACGCUACGGAGUGCUCCAGUGACCGCCCACUAGUAUAUAUCUGCUGGACUCGACACUCGCCGUACCGUACACCAGACAAAGCAUAACACAGUGUGGUGAACAGUGAUUUCUAUCAUCUAUAUUCUUGUCCUCAGUAGGCGUUAUGAUGCUGACGUGUCACUGAACGUGUCAGGCAAUGUAGUCCAUAUCUGGUUUGAUAUCUUACUCCUGGGGAUACCUGCAUUUCUAGGGACACAUUGAACUGCUUAUAGACUUUUCACAUUUCCCUUUGUCUUCAUGAAAUAGUUUCUCAAUUGGAUUUCUACAGAAGUUCAGAAGAGCAGGCCUUGAUUUCUUUGGACAACCUGUGCUUAAAGCAUGUGACUGGACAUUAUUAUUCUUAGAGAUGGAGAAAUAUGCGUCUUCUCUGUUCAUUCCUAGAAUAAGGAAUGAAAUACAGGCAAUCUACAGCCCAAGGAAGGCAGACAACCGCCUCUAUCUGAUUACAUGGUCGGUAAGAUCAGUUUCCUGGGGAACUCAGUGACUGGAGAUUGCAGGAGGAGGUGCGUCCAAGCAACUAGACAAGGCAGGACCAAUCAGAUGUCUUGGUCCUGCCUCCACUAGUUGCUUGGACCCACCCCCUGUACAAUCUGAUUGGUAAUCUCUCUGAACCAAUCACGUUUUGUUCUGCCCUCAGAGCAUUUUUGUAUAAAAUAUAAGCAUACCACGAGUAUACUUUGCUUUUUUAUUCCUUAUUUGUUGUGUUUAGUUUGUUUUUAUGUUAUAUGGUUUGUGUGUCUACACUGUGCCAACAUGUUCCAUGUAUGAAAAUAUUGUACAGGACUUCUGCUGAUUGCACUUUGUACAUUUUCACAGCUGUGCAAAUAUUGGUUUGAUUGGCCUGUUGGCGCGUAAGUGUGCAUGCUGUUGAGGUAUAUUUUACAGGACAGUUAAAGCAUUUCUUUUGUACCCAGUUGUUAAUUCUUCAUUGUGCAUCUGCAGUUUUGUAAAUAAGUGUCAGUGUUUGACAAUUUUGCCUGUGCAAUCAAAAACUACUGAGAAAGUCUUCUGAGAGAAACUUAAUUUGGACUAUUGUCUGUAUGGCUUAAAAGUACAAGGUCAUGCAUCUAUCUCAUCAGUGUGAUUUAGCAAAGGCAUAGUAACUCUCAUUGCUGUCAGUGCUUUGAGCAGAAAUUCAGGCUGGUUGAGGAAUACAGCAUUUUAAUGUCCUUCACUGUUAACUUAAAAAGGUUCCAUGCCAUUUUGUUUUUCAGACACUAAGUGAACUAUAGACAAGGUCUCACUUAGAUGCAGUUCUCCUUGAUGUAGCUGGGUUUGAUUUGUGGCUGGUGUGUAGCUGGCCUCUGAGAUGUUGCUCAUGACCCUGUUCAGCGCAGGAAACAUCCAUCAGUGAGCAGGAGGGUGUUCCUUGCUGCGGCACGCAAGAAGGGAAAUUGUCUCCCACAACUUGCUCUUUUUUCAUAGAGGAAGUUGUCUGCGAAGGGCUGCCACCCGUAGCGGCGCCCAGGGAGCUGGGAGUUAAGGGCCUUGCUCAAGGGCCCACAGUCUGAGGCGGGGUUUGAACCUGCGACCUUCUGAUUACAGGCACACAGGCUUAGCGCACAGAGCCACACGCUGCUCCCUAAUUUGCACAACCCAGUGGAAUACUCAAAAUUCUAGACUAUUGAUAAGCCAAUGUUCAUGAUAUAUCAGGAGAUUUUUUAAACUGCCAUAUUUGAAAGAUUACCUCAUUGAUAGCAUUUAUCAGCACUGCUCUUACCUGAAAGAUAUCAGCGGAAACGCACUGUGGACUGCCCGCUGUGUUUACAGUGUCUUGAAGUCCUUAAAUCAGCAGUGUCCUGAUAAAAUAAAUCCAAGCCAAAGUCCCUUAUAUAAGGAUAGUGUGAUAGAAAAUUCUUGAUUAUGCUAAUCAGUAAUCAAUAACGGAAUAUAGAUGAUUAUGCAAAAUGAAUUACCUAAUCAGUAAUUAACAAUUGAGUUUAUAAUGUGUUGUUGAUUUACACAUAGUGGUUGAAAUAAUGAA